GAGUUAUUCAGGGAUCCAGGCUUGCUCCAGCAAGGAGGAAAGAGUGAGGACAGUCGGCUGCCUAUGAAACUCUCCAGAUUGAAAGAGACCAUUACACAUAUUGUAAAGACCAGAAGAAUUGUUUUCUGCACACCUUGCCUGGCAAGUACUCUUCUACAACCUAAAACAAAGUGUAGAAUUUGAUAAGAGCUAAGCCCUGCUUGAAAGUAGAAAAGGGGCUUUCAGAAAUAGAAGAAGGGCUUGGAAACAAGUAUAAAGAGCCAAAAAAGAGGUAUCAUCAACAGGAAGAGGGUGAGGAUGCACCUGUAAGCCACACACAUUGGACAACACAGGUUCUUCACUGCAAGUCUGUGAAGCCCAAUCAAAGAAGCUUUGGUGAAAAAGGUAGCCUGUUCAGGACACAGCAGAAUGUGAUUUUUUGCUUCUAAAGAAAAGGGAAAUUUGGACACAGACCCAGAGAGGACAGUGCCGUGGACACACAGACACAGGGGAGAAUACCAGACGAAGGCAGAGGCAGAGGCUGGAGGCAAGUGUCUACAAGCUAAUGGACAGCAAGGAUUUCCAGCCACCACCGGAAGCUAGGGAAAAAGCCGGCAACAGAUUCUCUCAGAGCCUCCAGUCAGAACCAAUCAACCUUGGUUUUGGCCCUUUAGCUUGCAGAACUGUAAAAAUUUCUGUCUUAAGCCA